rnacentral:rRNA from 1 species
UACUACCGAAGCUACGGCAUCAGUAAUGAUGGGUAGGGGAGCUUCCCAUACGGGUUGAAGCAUGACCGUAAGGACAUGUGGACAGUAUGGGAGUGAGAAUGUUGGCAUGAGUAGCGAGAUGUGGGUGAGAAUCCCACAGGCCGUAAACCCAAGGUUUCCAGGGGAAGGUUCGUCCGCCCUGGGUUAGUCGGGACCUAAGCUGAGGCCGAAAGGCGUAGGUGAUGGACAACAGGUUGAUAUUCCUGUACUACCGAUAACCGUUUGAGAGAAGGGAUGACACAGUAGGAUAAGCUAAGCACACUGUUGGUUAUGUGUGCCCAAGCAUUGAGGCAGUCAAAGUAGGCAAAUCCGCUUUGAUAAUGCUGGGGUGUGAUGGGGAGCGAAAUUUAGUAGCGAAGUAGCUGAUUUCACACUGUCAAGAAAAGUCUCUAUCGAGGUUAAAGGUACCCGUACCGCAAACCGACACAGGUGGGUGAGGAGAGUAGCCUAAGGCCAGCGAGAGAACUGUUGUUAAGGAACUCGGCAAAAUGACCCCGUAACUUAGGGAUAAGGGGUGCCACCAUCAGGUGGCCGCAGAGAAUAGGCCCAAGCGACUGUUUACCAAAAACAUAGG